GUAGGGUGCGAGCGUUGUCCGGAAUUACUGGGCGUAAAGAGCUCGUAGGUGGUUUGUCGCGUUGUCCGUGAAAUUUCACAACUCAAUUGUGAGCGUGCGGGCGAUACGGGCAGACUGGAGUACUGCAGGGGAGACUGGAAUUCCUGGUGUAGCGGUGGAAUGCGCAGAUAUCAGGAGGAACACCGGUGGCGAAGGCGGGUCUCUGGGCAGUAACUGACGCUGAGGAGCGAAAGCGUGGGGAGCGAAC
rnacentral:rRNA from 1 species